UAAAUAAUUAUAGCGCCCGAACUAAGUUUUAAAGGUUAAAUUAAAUUUAGUUGACGAGGAAAAAAGUUAUCGAAAAUUCGGCGGAUACUUUUUCGGGCUGGAUGCUCGUUAGGUAGCAUACAAAAACACAAAAUUGCUACUGUCAUCUAAU
rnacentral:ncRNA from 2 species